AGUGAACGCUGGCGGUAGGCCUAACACAUGCAAGUCGAACGGCAGCACAGUAAUAGCUUGCUCUUACGGUUGGCGAGUGGCGGACGGGUGAGGAAUACAUCGGAAUCUACUUUUUCGUGGGGGAUAACGUAGGGAAACUUACGCUAAUACCGCAUACGACCUACGGUUGAAAGCAGUGGAUCUUCGGACCUUGCGCGAUUGAAUGAGCCGAUGUCGGAUUAGCUAGUUGGCGGGGUAAAGGCCCACCAAGGCGACGAUCCGUAGCUGGUCUGAGAGGAUGAUCAGCCACACUGGAACUGAGAAACGGUCCAGACUACUACGGGAGGCAGCAGUGGGGAAUAUUGGACAAUGGGCGCAAGCAUGAUCCAGCGAUACCGCGUGGGUGAAGAAGGCCUUCGGGUUGUAAAGCCCUUUUGUUGGGAAAGAAAAGCAGCAGGUUAAUACCCCGCUGUUCUGACGGUACCCAAAGAAUAAGCACCGGCUAACUUCGUG
rnacentral:rRNA from 1 species